rnacentral:rRNA from 1 species
GAUGAACGCUGGCGGCGUGCCUAAUACAUGCAAGUCGAGCGAACAGACGAGGAGCUUGCUCCUCUGACGUUAGCGGCGGACGGGUGAGUAACACGUGGAUAACCUACCUAUAAGACUGGGAUAACUUCGGGAAACCGGAGCUAAUACCGGAUAACAUGUUGAACCGCAUGGUUCAACAGUGAAAGACGGUCUUGCUGUCACUUAUAGAUGGAUCCGCGCCGCAUUAGCUAGUUGGUAAGGUAACGGCUUACCAAGGCAACGAUGCGUAGCCGACCUGAGAGGGUGAUCGGCCACACUGGAACUGAGACACGGUCCAGACUCCUACGGGAGGCAGCAGUAGGGAAUCUUCCGCAAUGGGCGAAAGCCUGACGGAGCAACGCCGCGUGAGUGAAGAAGGUCUUCGGAUCGUAAAACUCUGUUAUUAGGGAAGAACAAAUGUGUAAGUAACUAUGCACGUCUUGGCGGUACCUAAUCAGAAAGCCACGGCUAACUACGUG